rnacentral:tRNA from 1 species
CAGGGUAUAGCUUAACACAAAGCCCCCUCGCUUACACCGAGAAAAUAUCUAACUGACCCAGAUUACCCUGA